rnacentral:lncRNA from 1 species
AGCCUUCACACCCCUAGAGAGGCCAAAAAUACCAGCUAUUUUCCUGCGUUCCCUUGAAGUUAGAUAUUGGCCUGUGCUCCAGUCCUGUCAAUGAGAUGUGAAGAAAGUCUGCCAGAGAUAUUCUCGGACAGAUUUUGCUCCCUAUUAAAUACAGAAUAAGAGGCAAUGAAACUCACAACUUCUUACCAAGUGGAACUUCAGUUCAGAUGAUGCAAUGAAAGCUGCAGACCUGGGAUCUGAAAAAUCUGCACUCCAUGGUUUGAUUUGUAAAUUAACAUUAACAACAUCACCACUCACUCUCUCACGGCUUUCUAAUUUAGACAACUGGCAAGAUAAAAAUGAACAUGAAAUGUUGAGAACAACCAUUGUUCACUGCCUUUCCUUUCAACACAAUAAAAUAAAACAAGAUUCCAUAAAAUAA